UACGUAGGGCGCGAGCGUUGUCCGGAAUUAUUGGGCGUAAAGCGUGCGCAGGCGGCUUUGCAAGACAGAUGUGAAAUCCCCGGGCUCAACCUGGGAACUGCAUUUGUGACUGCAUGGCUAGAGUACGGUAGAGGGGGGAUGGAAUUCCGCGUGUAGCAGUGAAAUGCGUAGAUAUGCGGAGGAACACCGAUGGCGAAGGCAAUCCCCUGGACCUGUACUGACGCUCAUGCACGAAAGCGUGGGGGAGCAAACAGG
rnacentral:rRNA from 1 species